rnacentral:rRNA from 1 species
GUCGAGAAUCUUUCACAAUGGGGGCAACCCUGAUGGAGCGACGCCGCGCGGAGGAUAAGGUCUUCGGAUUGUAAACUCCUGUCAUGCGUGAACAAGGUUGCUUGGUUAAUACCUGGGCAAAUUGAUGGUAACGCAAGAGGAAGAGACGGCUAACUCUGUGCCAGCAGCCGCGGUAAUACAGAGGUCUCAAGCGUUGUUCGGAAUCACUGGGCGUAAAGGGUGCGUAGGUGGCGUGGUAAGUCAGAUGUGAAAGCCCGGGGCUCAACCUCGGAACUGCAUCCGAUACUGCCAUGCUAGAGUACUGGGGAGGUGACUAGAAUUCUCGGUGUAGCAGUGAAAUGCGUAGAUAUCGAGAGGAAUACCAAAGGCGUAGGCAGGUCACUGGACAGUUACUGACACUGAGGCACGAAGGCCAGGGGAGCGAACGGGAUUAGAAACCCGUGUAGUCC